rnacentral:SRP_RNA from 13 species
CAGCGGUGCUCAUGCCGGAGCCGCGGACGUCCUGGAGGAUGCAGCGUACACCGGCUGAGGCCCAUAAAGUAGCAGGGUGGCGCCACAGUGCCGUGUUGCAAUAGG